rnacentral:rRNA from 1 species
GACGAACGCUGGCGGCGUGCUUAACACAUGCAAGUCGAACGGAAAGGCCCUGCUUUUGUGGGGUGCUCGAGUGGCGAACGGGUGAGUAACACGUGAGUAACCUUCCCUUGACUGUGGGAUAACUUCAGGAAACUGGGGCUAAUACCGGGUAUGAGCUCCUGCUGCAUGGUGGGGGUUGGAAAGUUUCGGCGGUUGGGGAUGGACUCGCGGCUUAUCAGCUUGUUGGUGGGGUAGUGGCUUACCAAGGCUUUGACGGGUAGCCGGCCUGAGAGGGUGACCGGCCACAUUGGGACUGAGAUACGGCCCAGACUCCUACGGGAGGCAGCAGUGGGGAAUAUUGCACAAUGGGCGGAAGCCUGAUGCAGCAACGCCGCGUGCGGGAUGACGGCCUUCGGGUUGUAAACCGCUUUCGCCUGUGACGAAGCGUGAGUGACGGUAAUGGGUAAAGAAGCACCGGCUAACUACGUG